AGACUUACCUAGUAGGAGAGACACCAUGACCAGGAAGGUGGUUUCAGGGCGCAGCUUGUCCAUUGCACUCCAGAUGUGCUGACCCCUGUGAUGUCCCCAAACGUGGGAAACUCGACUGCAUAAUUUGUGUUAGUGGGGAACUGCGUUUGCACUCUCCCCUU